GGGUUGUGAGGUUAAGCGACUAAGCGUACACGGUGGAUGCCCUGGCAGUCAGAGGCGAUGAAGGGCGUGCUAAUCUGCGAUAAGCGCCGGUAAGGUGAUAUGAACCGUUAUAACCGGCGAUACCCGAAUGGGGAAACCCAGUGUGACUCGUCACACUAUCAUUAACUGAAUCCAUAGGUUAAUGAGGCGAACCGGGGGAACUGAAACAUCUAAGUACCCCGAGGAAAAGAAAUCAACCGAGAUUCCCCCAGUAGCGGCGAGCGAACGGGGAGGAGCCCAGAGCCUGAAUCAGCAUGUGUGUUAGUGGAAGCGUCUGGAAAGGCGCGCGAUACAGGGUGACAGCCCCGUACACAAAAGCGCAUGUGCUGUGAGCUCGAUGAGUAGGGCGGGACACGUGGUAUCCUGUCUGAAUAUGGGGGGACCAUCCUCCAAGGCUAAAUACUCCUGACUGACCGAUAGUGAACCAGUACCGUGAGGGAAAGGCGAAAAGAACCCCGGCGAGGGGAGUGAAAAAGAACCUGAAACCGUGUACGUACAAGCAGUGGGAGCACCCUUUGGGUGUGACUGCGUACCUUUUGUAUAAUGGGUCAGCGACAUAUAUUCUGUAGCAAG
rnacentral:rRNA from 1 species